AGUGAACGCUGGCGGUAGGCCUAACACAUGCAAGUCGAACGGCAGCACAGAGGAGCUUGCUCCUUGGGUGGCGAGUGGCGGACGGGUGAGGAAUACAUCGGAAUCUACUCUGUCGUGGGGGGUAACGUAGGGAAACUUACGCUAAUACCGCAUACGACCUACGGGUGAAAGCAGGGGAUCUUCGGACCUUGCGCGAUUGAAUGAGCCGAUGUCGGAUUAGCUAGUUGGCGGGGUAAAGGCCCACCAAGGCGACGAUCCGUAGCUGGUCUGAGAGGAUGAUCAGCCACACUGGAACUGAGACACGGUCCAGACUCCUACGGGAGGAAGCAGUGGGGAAUAUUGGACAAUGGGCGCAAGCCGGAUCCAGCCAUACCGCGUGGGUGAAGAAGGCCUUCGGGUUGUAAAGCCCUGUUGUUGGGAAAGAAAUCCAUCUGGUUAAUACCCGGGUGGGAUGACGGUACCCAAAGAAUAAGCACCGGCUAACUUCGUGCCAGCCGCCGCAGUAA
rnacentral:rRNA from 1 species